rnacentral:rRNA from 1 species
GGACGAACGCUGGCGGCGUGCCUAAUACAUGCAAGUCGAGCGAGACUNUUCGGAGUCUAGCGGCGGACGGGUGAGUAACACGUGGGCAACCUGCCUGUAAGACUGGGAUAACACCGGGAAACCGGUGCUAAUACCGGAUAAUCCUUUUCCUCUCAUGAGGAAAAGCUGAAAGUCGGUUUCGGCUGUCACUUACAGAUGGGCCCGCGGCGCAUUAGCUAGUUGGUGAGGUAACGGCUCACCAAGGCGACGAUGCGUAGCCGACCUGAGAGGGUGAUCGGCCACACUGGGACUGAGACACGGCCCAGACUCCUACGGGAGGCAGCAGUAGGGAAUCUUCCACAAUGGACGAAAGUCUGAUGGAGCAACGCCGCGUGAGCGAUGAAGGCCUUCGGGUCGUAAAGCUCUGUUGUUAGGGAAGAACAAGUACCGGAGUAACUGCCGGUACCUGACGG